GACGUAGUCGUGGUUUGACAAGUCACGUAGGACGUGCAAGCGGUUCAAAGAGGAAGGAAGAUGGCGGAUAACAAAGGCGUCGAUGAUAUGGACCCGUCGCCAAACCCGGAGCCACCUCCUUCGGCGCAGGACAACGUGCAGGCGGAGACCCAAGCCGAAAUUGCGCCUACGGUCGUAGAAAGCGACCCAAAGGAAGCGGAAGAGACCGAGCAGCGUGUUCCCGCUCAUGAGGCGACAACAGCCACCGGCGAAGGAGGCGCCGAGGCUAGCAUCAGCAAUGUUAGCGGCAGCAGCAGCGCCGCUAGCCCUACGGACUGCAGCCCAAACGAUACCGAAGCCCCUGCUGCCGGCGGCGGACUCGCCUCGGAAAUGUCCCCCCCACCCACGGCCCCGGCGGCCACACCGGUACCGACUCCCAUUAAUUUAUUGGAUACGUGCGCAGUGUGUAAACAAAGUCUUCAAAGCCGAGAGUGCGAACCAAAACUUCUCCCUUGCCUGCACUCGUUUUGUCUUAAAUGUAUCCCGCAACCAGACAGGCAGAUCAGCGUGCAGGUGACUGGACCGCACGGGCAAACCAACACACAUAUCGUAAAUGUUAUGCGAUGCUCGGUGUGCCACCAGGACUACAAACAGAAUGAUAUUGUUGACAACUACUUCGUUAAAGAUACCUCAGAGGCGACCAUCACCUCGGAUGAAAAAGCUGCACAGGUGUGCACAAGUUGUGAGGACAAUGCAGGAACCAUAGGAUUUUGCGUGGAGUGUGGAGAAUGGCUGUGUAAGACCUGUGUGGAGGCUCACCAGAGGGUCAAAAUAACCAAAGACCACAAGAUUCGCACUAAAGAGGAUCCAGACACCACUUCUGAGUCUGUGAGCGCAUCUGGACAGAGGCCUGUUUUUUGUCCCAUCCACAAGCAAGAGCCACUCAAGCUUUUCUGUGAGACCUGUGACACUUUGACUUGCCGGGACUGCCAGCUGCUUGAGCACAAGGAGCAUCGGUAUCAGUUCCUGGAGGAAGCUUUUCAUAACCAUAAAGGCAUCAUUGAGUCAACCGUGACCAAACUACAAGAGAAGAAAAACUAUGUCCAUUAUUCAGUAUCUCAAGUACAAAACAGGUUAAAAGAACUGUCCGAAACCCAUAAGAAGGUUGAACACGAGAUCAAGAUUGCGGUGUUUACUCUGAUAAAUGAGAUUAACAAAAAAGGGAAGUCUUUAUUACAACAGCUGGAGACUGUGACCAAAGAGCGCAGUGCAAGGCUGAUGGCCCAGCAUAAGGAUACCACUCAGCUGGCCCAGCAGAUCCACCAUGUGCUGAACUUCUGCCAAUGGGCCAUUUCGACUGGCAGCAGCACUGCACUGCUUUAUAGCAAGAGACCGAUCUUGUUCCAGCUCCGCCAGCUCUUUAAGGCGAGACUAGAGCCAGUGCCCGUGUCCAAUGGAGAAGUACGAUUUUUCUGUGACCCCACCUUCUGGGCCAAAAAUGUGGUGAAUUUAGGUAACCUGAUCAUCGAGAAGCCACCGCCACCUGCACAUCCACCCAAUAUGAUGGGUGGUGGCGCUCCCAUUUCACCAGGCCAAGGUCAACACGGCAAAAGUCAAGGGCAGAUCAAUCUGGCCCAGCUCCGUCUGCAGCACAUGCAGCAGGCGGCCUUCGCACAGAAGCAGCAACAUCUCCAGCAACAGCACCACCACCAGCAGCAGCAGCAACAACAGCAGAUGCAGCAACAGAUGCGCCUUGCUUCGCAAAUGCCUCAGCAACAUUCCAGACAGACUGUCCCACCCAUGGUUCAGCAGCAGCCUCCCAGACUCAUCAGUAUGCAGCAGCACCCAAGGGGGCAAAUGGUCCUAAACGGUGGGCCCGUUCCCUCCAUGUAUACCUCGUCCCACCACAUGCGUCUACCGGGCCCACCACAGGGCAGGAUACCCACAGCUCAGCCGAGACACAACGGGCAGCAAUAUCCCAGUAUGAUUCAGUCUCACCUACAGCGACAGCAUUCCAACCCAGGCCAUGCUGGCCCCUUCCCAGUGGCGUCGGGCCACAAUGCAAACCCCACAAGUCCCACCAGUGCCAGCAUGGCAGGAGCACACGCUCAUCGAGGGCCUGCCAACCCCGUCAUCGGUCCCAUUGAGCUCAUCCCCUCAGUCACGAACCCAGAGAACUUGCCCUGUCUACCGGAGAUCCCGCCCAUUCAGCUAGAGGAUGCCGGUUCCAGCCGCCUGAGCCACCUCCUGACUCGCGUCAUCACUGCCGGCCCGCAACAGCAGCCAGGUUCGAUGGACAUGAACCCCUCCCCAGGACUUUCUAUACACUCGCCUGGAUCAUCAGGUCUUUCAAAUGCACACACGCCAGCACGACCCUCCAGCACGUCCAGCACAGGCAGCAGAGGCAGUUGUAGCUCUACAGGAAGAGCAGCAGCAGGUGGGGGUACUAUGGAACCUGUCCGGGUCAAACAGGAGCCCGAUUCAGCUGAAAGUUACAGUUGUCCAGGUUCUUCCACAAAGUCGGAGCGAAGUCAAGAUUCUGGGAGAAGUGCUUGCAUGAUGAGCAGUCCUGAGAGCAGCACAAUUGAGAAAAUUAAAUCGGAGCUUGAGUCUGAGACCUCUUGCUCCGGGCUCAACGGCUCCAGUACACAGCUAACCAACGGAUAUAUGGCCAAAGGGCAGGGGGUGUCAACCGAGACCGGCAACCCUGAUGGGAAGGAGGACGACCCUAAUGAAGACUGGUGUGCUGUUUGCAUCAAUGGUGGCGACUUGCUGUGCUGUGACCGCUGUCCCAAAGUGUUCCACAUGAAAUGUCAUGUGCCCACCAUCAAAAUAUUCCCCAAAGGUGAUUUUCUGUGCACGUUUUGCCGGAGUAUAUCGAGUCCCGAGAUAAAGUACUGUGACGACAGCAGGAAAGUCAGUGGAGAGAAUGUCCUUAAUCCCGAGGACCAGAGGAGAUGUGAGCGCCUCCUGCUGUACGUCUUCUGUCAUGAGCUCAGUGUGGGCUUCAGGGAGCCCGUCCCUAGCUCUGUGCCAAACUACUACAGAAUCAUUAAGCACCCUAUGGACCUGAAAAAAGUGAAGGAAAAGCUGCAGCUACGGAGCUCUCAGUACUACAAAUCCAUCCAGGAAUUUGUGUCUGACAUGCGCAUCAUCUUCCAAAACUGUGCAAAGUACAAUGAGAUCUCCUGUAGAGCAGUGAUGUUUUGGGGCUGUCGAUGGGCAACACAGACUUUCAACUCCCUCACGCCAAAGAUUUUCUCUGGGGUUGGCAUCUGGAGACUAGGCCACUCCAGGACCUUGAAAUGCUUCGUACGAAGCCACUCCUUCGUUGCCCGGGUGGUGUGUUUGGGAUCGUUGUCAUGCUGUAAGACCCAGCCACGUUUCGUCUUCAAUGCCCUUGCUGAUGGAAGGAGGUUUUCAAUCAAAAUCUCACCAUACAUGGCCCCAUUCAUUAUUUCCUUUGCAGGAAAACAGCCCCAAAGCCUGAUGUUUCCACCCACAUGCGUCACAGUAGGUAUGGUGUUCUUUGGAUGCAACUCAGCAUUCUUUCUCCUCCAAACACAUCAAGUUGAGUUUUUACCAAAAAGUUCUAUUUUGGUUUCAUCUGACCAUCUGACAUUCUCCCAAUCCUCUUCUGGAUCAUUCAAAUGCUCUGUAGCAGACUUCAGAUGGGCUUGGACAUGUACUGGUUUAAGCAGGGGGACACUUGUGGCACUGGAGGAUUUGAGUCCUUGCUGGCGUAGUGUGUUACUGAUGGUAGUCUCAGUUACUUUGGUCUCAGCUCUGUGCAGGUCAUGCACUCGGCCCCCACUGUGUGGUUCUGGGAUUUUUGCUCACCGUUCUUGUGGUCAUUUUGACUCCAUCUCCCACAGUUGAUUUAUUCACACCAGGCUGCUUACCUAUUGCAGAUUCAGUCUUCCCAGCCUGGUGCACGUCUACAAUUUGGUUUCCGGUGUCCUUUGACAGAUCUUUGGACUUGGCCGUAGUGGAGUUUGGAGUGUGACUGUUUGAGGUUGUGGACAGGUGUCUUUUAUACUGAUAACGAGUUCAAACAGGUUCCAUUAAUACAGGUAACGAGUAGAGGACAGAGGAGUCUCUUAAAGAAGUUACAGGUCUGUGAGAGUCAGAAAUCUUGCUUGUUUGGAGGUGACCAAAUACUUAUUUUCCACCAAAAUUUGCUAAUAAAUUCUUUAAAAAUCAGACUGUGAUUUUUUUGGGAUGUUUUUUUUCUUUCUUUUCCCCCUCAAUUUGAUUCUCAUAGGUGAGGUACACCUAUUGUGAAAAUGCCAGGCCUCUCUCAUCUUUUGAAGUGGGAGAACUUGCACAAUUGGUGGCUGACUGAAUACUUUUUUGCCCCACUGUACACACUGACCCUUAUUGACUUCUUGUCACUUUAGUGGUUUUGUACCCAACAGACUUGUGCACUGCUCUUUCAUGUCCCCAUAGGUUGUAUGUCCAAUUUAAUGUUUUGUCCUUCACAUUUUGCAUUCCUUCUGUGGUGGUAUCACAAAUGGAAAAAGGCAAAAUAAAAAUAAAAGUUAAUCCUUUAGUUGCUCACUAAGAGCUUGCUAUAUAUUUUUAAAUCUUGUGAGAUUUGCAUUGGAGUAAUACCAAUACAGCAGCGAUUAGUGGUACCGGUAAAUGCAUUCUCUAAAGUGCACUUAGAAGCUUUUUUUUUGUUGUUGUUGCUUGAUUGUUUUUUUAGAAACUACAUCUCAAGUGAAAGUUGGUGCGUUUAGGAUGUUAACAACACUCACGAGUAAAGUUUCUUUUCCUGCUCGGAUGAUACGGGAUUGCCCUAGACACAGUCGACCAUGCACAGAGUUCCAAUCUGUUCUUACCUCAUCUGCCUAAACUGUGAACGCUUCUCCCCCUGCUACUUGACUGUCUGUUGUAAUGUUAUUGCCCCUUUUUAGAUGUCUCGAAUAAUCCAGGUUUAUGCUGAGGAGAAAGCGAUUAAUACGCAGGACGGAUCAGAGAUGGCUGUCUCUGGUAAGGCGGUGGGUUUGUACUUUG